AGUGAACGCUGGCGGUAGGCCUAACACAUGCAAGUCGAACGGCAGCACAGUAAGAGCUUGCUCUUACGGGUGGCGAGUGGCGGACGGGUGAGGAAUACAUCGGAAUCUACUUUUUCGUGGGGGAUAACGUAGGGAAACUUACGCUAAUACCGCAUACGACCUACGGGUGAAAGCAGGGGAUCUUCGGACCUUGCGCGAUUGAAUGAGCCGAUGUCGGAUUAGCUAGUUGGCGGGGUAAAGGCCCACCAAGGCGACGAUCCGUAGCUGGUCUGAGAGGAUGAUCAGCCACACUGGAACUGAGACAUGGUCCAGACUCCUACGGGAGGCAGCAGUGGGGAAUAUUGGACAAUGAGCGCAAGCCUGAUCCAGCCAUACCGCGUGGGUGAAGAAGGCCUUCGGGUUGUAAAGCCCUUUUGUUGGGAAAGAAAAGCAGCAGGUUAAUACCCCGCUGUUCUGACGGUACCCAAAGAAUAAGCACCGGCUAACUUCGUG
rnacentral:rRNA from 1 species